rnacentral:snRNA from 1 species
AUUCUUAUAUGGCAGGGGUAGUGCCAUGAUCAUGAAAGUGGUUUUCCCAGGGCCAAGGCUCAUCUAUUGUACUCCAGAUGUGCUGACUCCCUGAGAUUUCACCAAAUGUGGGAAACUUGAUUGCAUAAUUUAUGGUGGUGAUGAAUUGUGUUUGCUCUUUCUCCAG